rnacentral:rRNA from 1 species
GAUGCCUACGGGACGCAGCAGUGGGGAAUAUUGCGCAAUGGGCGAAAGCCUGACGCAGCGACGCCGCGUGAGGGACGAAGGCCCUCGGGCUGUAAACCGCUUUCAGCAGGGAAGACAUCGACGGUACCUGCAGAAGAAGCUCCGGCUAACUACGUGCCAGCAGCCGCGGUAAUACGUAGGGGGCGAGCGUUAUCCGGAUUCAUUGGGCGUAAAGCGCGCGUAGGCGGCCGCCUAAGCGGAACCUCUAACCCCGGGGCUCAACCCCGGGCCGGGUUCCAGAC